rnacentral:sRNA from 1 species
ACAGAUACAUUUGAUGGUGAAGAUUCAUAUGCAUCAUUACAGUAAAAUACUAACAACAAAUCUACCAGUCUCUCUCACUCUUUCUUCUACCAACUGAUAAUUUGCAAUAUCAUCACACACACAUGUAUGUAUACCAAAGAGGAGAGCAAUGAGAGCUAGAAGUUUCGGUGGAACACAAAAGUUACUCUCUAUUUUGGCGGACUUGUAAUUUGGAAGAAAAGUGUCACACAAAACACACACACACACAUAUAUUCAUGAACAAUACCUUCCCCUCAUAUACCCUUCUACGUAAGGAAAAAAUGGGUAUUGAAGCUACUUGUGAUUGGUUGAUAUUUAGCAGCACAGCAGCGAAAAUAGAUGUUCUCUUUCUGAGGUUUAUGAAAGCCUGGUGUAUACUCGGUAUUUACAUGAUUUUAUAAAAAAAUUAGAAAGAUGUCGCCAGACAGUCAGGCAACUCCUCCUGCCACCAACUCACUUACUCACCCACUCGCUCAUCUUCCGACAAUGUUUUUUUUGCAAUAUUUAAGUCCUUUAACCAUAACCUAACUAUAAACACAAACAAUGUCAACUAAUAGUUAACAAAUGAAAUUAGGCAACGUUGCCUUAAAUAAAAUAAAAUUAAUACAA